rnacentral:rRNA from 1 species
UAGGGAAUAUUGGACAAUGGGCGAAAGCCUGAUCCAGCGACGCCGCGUGAGGGAUGAAGGCCUUCGGGUUGUAAACCUCUGUUGUUGGGAAAGAAGCCGGGUGCAUAACCCGGUGACGGUACCCAACGAGGAAGCCCCGGCUAACUACGUGCCAGCAGCCGCGGUGAGACGUAGGGGGCGAGCGUUAUCCGGAUUCACUGGGCGUAAAGGGCGCGUAGGCGGUUACGUAAGUCCGAUGUGAAAAGUCACGGCUCAACUGUGAUCGUGCAUCGGAUACUUCGUUGACUUGAGGUCGGUAGAGGCAAGUGGAACUAGCGGUGUAGCGGUGAAAUGCGCAGAUAUCGCUAGGAACGCCGGUGGCGAAGGCGACUUGCUGGGCCGUACCUGACGCUGAUGCGCGAAAGCUAGGGGAGCGAACCGGAUUAGAUACCCCCGUAGUCC